AGCUUCCUGUGCUUAUCACAAUCUGUGUCCUUUACACUGACUGCCUAAAAAGAGGAGUUCUAUGUAAAUAAGUCUACCUUAUAUAAACUUCAGCCCAGGCUCUUUGUCUAACCAGUAUUAUGACCAGAGGAAAGUGG